GGGCCGUUAACUCAACUGGCAGAGUACCGGCCUUUUAAGCCGGGAGUUGGGGGUUCGACUCCCUCACGGCCCA
rnacentral:tRNA from 1 species